UUAGUACGGACAGUCUCUUUGCUUCGUGCAGAACUUCGCCGAUCCCGGAAUAGUUUCGUCGGUUGCUCGUUGAAGUUGUUCGCGCGGCUGUUGCACGGGCCAGUUUUCACUUGUUGCGAGCGUGUUCGUUCGCGAAUUCCGUCAUCGUUCUGGUAAUUCCAACCGUCGCGUAAUUUAAUUUUUCUUGGCGGCUCCUGCCUGUGUAUCGAUCGAGAAUAAAGAGGAAGUAUCGAUAGUAUAAUAAAAAGUAUCGAAUUUCUCUUGAAUCUCUUCGGUUCAUUCGUUGACACGAUCGUUCAACCUGGAAGCCGAUACGGAGAACGCGGGGAUGGAUGUGACGGACGUCCUCGGUCCUGACGCCCCGUCGGCGAACGAUAAGGAUGUUGUAAACAACGAUAACAAUAAUGGCAACAACGAGGACGAUGAAGCGCCCACUGUGGAGGAGACGUACGAGGUCACCACCACCAAACGCAAGACCGUUCGGACGAGCUACAAGAUCCAAGAAACUUCUUCAUCAACCAAAACUACCACUAUGACAACUGCAGCAAAGCUGUAUGGCAAGGAUUUGAGUGAAUACGAUGAUGUGGAUGUGGACGAUUUGUUGGCACAACUCACUCCAGAAGAAAUUAAUAUAUUAGCGAAGGAGGUGGAUCCUGAUGAUAGCUUUAUGCCACCAUCGCAACGUUGCAGCUAUGAAUGUGACAAGAGUCCUACAGGACCGCUAAAUCGCAAGAAACUUAUUGAACACAUCAACAAACAAGCUUUAGAGACACCAGAUAGACCAGAAUUAAAACCUUAUGUACCUGGUGUAAUAAGAGGGAAAAAGUGGGUUCCUCCUCCUCAAGAAACUGCAAAAGAAAAAGAAGCAGAUGAGCAAAUUGCUAUUGAUCUUGGAGAGGAAUAUGAGCAAGCAUUGUCUAAUGCUACUCAAGAAGAAAUUAUUGAUCUUGCUGCUAUUCUUGGAUUUCAUUCCAUGAUGAAUCAAGAUCAGUAUCAUGCUUCCCUAUUAAAUUCUGGCCAACCUGUUGGUUUGGGUUGGGAUGGUGUAACGAAAGCUAGUCAACCAAAACCUUAUCCAAUGGAGCCACCUAAUGAUACAGACGUUGAUGCUACUAUUAAACAAGUGCGAGAAGAUGAUACUUCGCUAAUUGAUUUAAAUUGGAAUAACAUUAAAAAUAUAUCUGAUGAAAAGUUUAUCCAACUAUUUGAAGGACUGGAGAUAAAUACACAUCUCGAAUCCUUAAGUUUAACAAAUGUGGGACUCACUGAUAAGACUGCACAAAGGUUGGCAGAUGCCUUAGAGAAAAAUUCUACGCUCAGAGUACUCAAUGUGGAAACAAACUUUAUAAGCCCAGCUGUGAUAGUGAGGCUCAUCAGGGCACUCCUUAAAACAAAGUCAAUAGAAGAAUUUCGAUGUUCGAAUCAGAGGUCACAGGUGCUGGGAAAUAAAAUUGAGAUGGAAAUUACACAAUUGGUGGAACAAAAUCCGACAUUGCUCCGACUUGGUCUUCACUUGGAGUUUAACGAUGCUAGACAUCGCGUGGCCGCACAUUUACAACGCAACAUUGAUAGGAUCUGUCGUGUGCAACGCGCUAAGCUAGAGGCCGGUGAACUUCCUAAAAGUUUCGCUAUCCCAGUAGGUGGUGUAAGAAACGAAACGUAGCGUUGACUUUUUAUAGCGCAUACGGCAGUCCCGGCUCGGGGUGGCGACAUCUUAACGCGAAGUGGCGUUCGCCUAGAUCGUCUACACCGCACGGGAAGGUCUUCCCGCAAUUAUACCAUCGGUUGGGCCGUACGUCGAUGAUGAUGAUCACCAACGUUCACGAAUCUCGACAAGGACGACCUUUCAUGGCGACCAAGACGCUUGAGUAAUCUGUCAGCGAUUAUUUAUUGUAUUAACCGGAUCAAUUUGGUAUUUAGAAUAAGACAGAAAUUUUAAAUUAUAUGAUUUUCAAAAGAAUGCAGUUUAGACGAAUGACAAUUCAUUUUUAAGAUCAUUCGAUUGCGAUUGAGGGAUGAUCAACCCUUAACUGCUACGUAAGAUAACGCGAUAUUUCGAAUGUUGUAAAUAUCGUCGUAAUUUUGUUUUCAAGUAACAAAUGACACUGAGUGUCGCUAACCUUCGGUUACUAUUUUAUUAAUAAUUACAAACCGUGUAACAUUAAAGCUACGAUAUUUUUACAUUAUUUGCGAUAUUACAAUGUUACAUUUACGAUGUCGAUUAAUUAAAAAUAUUACGAUAUUGGAUUUUAUAUUUAUUUAUAGCCUACAAGAAUAUAAAAUUUAAAUUUUUAUUUAAGUUCACAACUUAACAACAGAGCAGUUCACAACUAGUGAACUCGCGUAGAGUUUCUAUAUCAACGUAGCAGUUAUGGGUUAAAUAUAAUAGUUUAUCAGUGCAAUCUAGAAUAGCGGAUAGUUUGGAAUAAUUUAAGUUGCUUUCAAAGCGUUGCGAAGCAUCGAUCUGCUUUUAAAAUGGAUCACUUCUGGUUGCAUUUGAGAUAUUUGAAAUUAUCGAAAAGCGAGUCACACUAAGUGACGGAGAACUUCUCUAAUUUUCCAGGACUUUUGCUUUAGUUCUUGAAAGAAAAUUCUCUCAACGUUUCUACAUUCAAAUUGUGCUUUUACAUUCGAUUCAUCAACCAUUUGAAAAGUUUACGGAUCUGGAAAUUGUAGAACCUCGAAAGUUUCGUCCUUUAACUAACGACAAAGAAGAUAUUGGAAAUCCGGAAUCUUCCAGAUUUCAUAUAAGUCCGAAUUUCUAGAGAAUCUUAAAAGGACGCGAAUGAAAAAAUGUUCAAUAGAUACGCACAGGUUGAAAGUAACGAAGCUUCAGUAUUGAAAGCUUUCGUGCGUUCGAGCUUCUCUUUUUUCCUCAAGAAUUUGUGGACCAUCUGGAAAUACUACUGUCGUUCGAGAGCACUUUGCGUUCAUAGCUAAAACAGAUACAAAUUUUCAAAGAAGAUAUAUUCAAUUCUUCGACUGUUUCGUGAUUUAGUAAUACUAAAACGAAUAUCGUAGAAAGAAACUUUUCAGGAUUCUAAAUUGAAAAUGAUCCAGAUCUUAUAAUCAAUUUGACACGUUGAUAAAUAUGAAAAAAAGGUAACAUAUAUCCUACAUAUUUUUUAUUUGUUUAAUCAUUUCUUUUUCUCUUCGAUUAACUUAAAAUAGGAAAUCAUUGUAACGGGGAAAGCUCAUGUCUGUCUCGAAUUCGCUUGGUUAAGAUUCGAUUAUACAGGGUGAUUGGUAACUGGUGGUACAAGCGGAAAGGGGGCGAUUCUACGCGAAAAAGGAAGUCGAAAAUGUAGAAUAAAAAUUAUUUUUUUUAAUUUUUCCAUCGAGACAACGAUCUACAGUGAGAUCCGUUAUAACGAGACGUGAUAAAAUGCACGCGUACCGAGCGAAAAUUCAAAGUCGAUUUUCUCGAAAACAAAGCCUCAAACGAAAAAUUUUUAUUCUAUAUUUUCGACUUCUUUUUUCGCGUAGAAUCACCCCCUUUCCGCUUGUACCACCAGUUACCAACCACCCUGUAUUUGAAAAUGCCAAUCGCAUUUCUCAAGAAGCGGUUCCAACGAAUUUUGUUAUCAUUAUACUUGAGUUCGUUACUGAUUACGUGUUCUUACAAUAAUUAAUUAUACUUACAAGCAACAAAUGAGACAAAAACAGGAACGUUUAUCAUCUAUAUCGAUUCGAAAUAAAGGUGUGAUAUCAAAACCGAACGUUAAAACUACAUGAAAAAAUGAGAGAGAGAAAAAAAAAAGAAAAGAUUAAGAAACACAAUUCGAUGCUUCCUAUCGCUAUCGAUCGAAUUCGAUCUCGUCGAUUACUUCUCUGGUGGUUCUCGCGAUAAAGGGGUUCCGCGGUUUUGGUUUCGAAAGCAGCCUAGCCGUUCCGGCUACGCUUCCGGUUUCCCUUCCCAGCGCAUUCAGAGCUCCCGGAAGUGUCUCGUUUUCCCAACCGGAUGCCACGGAACCCGCUGAAUCGCACCUGACCACUUCCUGCGUCCAAUACCCUUUAUCGUCCCUCUUCGCAGGUCAACGAAUUUCAACGUCGUCCCCAGACUCUACGAUCGUCUCCCUCUCCCCUCUCUCUUUCUCUCUCUCUCUCUCUCUCUUCCUUCUAUUUUAUUUUUAUUUCGCAUCGUUUCGACGGAAGUUUUGUCAAAUUUACUCCGUAAAUUCCAAUACCAUCGACGGUCAACAUAAAUCGAGCGCACAGUCGUUUCGUUCCCGUUUUCGAAUUUUAUUUCACCGAUUUCAUCCGAACGCUUGAAAGUUGCGCGGAUAGAAUCGAUGAAAUUUUUUUCGCGUCACAUGCCAGUUUUCACGAACUUUAACGGCGGAAAUUUCACACGAGUUUCGUCGUUGGAAAAAUUCCACUUUUACUCUCUCGGCGAGGAGACUACGUAACACGUUGCUCUUACCGUUCACGUUUAACCCGGCUUAUUUCUGUUUUGCUAGCGUGCAACUUCAUUUUUGAUCAUUUGCUUAAAACAAAUCAAGAAGAUUUCGCACGACGCUACCUACGUUCCCUAUAAAAUUGAUUUUUCAAGUAAGUGCUUCCGCGCGAAACGAUCGCGCUCGAUGUCGCGCCGUUCGAAUGAAAUUGAAUCGUGUUCGUCCGUGAAAUUCAAUUGCUUUUCGUUCUAUUAGAUUGGUGUAUAUGAAAUGUCGUUUCUUCGAACGCGAAACUUUAACCAGCCGAAGUUUUUUUCGAAACAUCGAAUAUAAAGUAACGUCCCGUUGAUCUUUUUCGAAAGCUUUUCUUGACCAUAGAUUUAUAAAAAUGAUCACCUAUUAACGAAUUCUCUCGUGUAGAAAAAUGUCUCUUCUUCAAACGCUAAAUUUACGUUCUCAGCGACGUUCCUGACAAUUCUUCAAAUUUAAUCUCAUGAAAUUAUACGAAUAUUCCAAUUAUUAAGCUGAUCUCGAUCCAUCAAAAUCGAAUUGGAAUCUCGUGCAGACGUUUCGUACGCGUCAACCUAGUAAUUGUUCUGUUAAAAAUUUUGUUAAAAAUCUUCUAUUCUCCCGGUUUUACAGAAACGAUAUUUUACAUGCGUCGAGCUAAUAUUUUCCUUUUAUUUCGCUAUUUUGUAAAAAAUCGUCUAACAAAUGACUCUAGCGAAUCUCGAUUUUCUUUUACAUUUUUCCUCUUAAGUGAUCAACGAGAGAGACUUGUGUGCGUAUAACUUGUUUUUUUUUUUAACGUUCCUGUUGAAACACUUGAAACGGAGCGAUGUUAUGUCACUUGGGCCGCGUGAUCGGAAGAGCGUCGAGUGUUGCACCCUCAAACGUUCGGUGAAACGAGUCGCCUUUGACGUAACGUUCAUUCGUCGACACUCGAAAUCAUCCUGAAAAUCGUCCUCGCUCGUAAGUAGCUGUCAGAGUAUCAAGAACGAUCGUUUCUACGAGAAGCGAACGAAACUAAUAUCUCAAGAAGUUAAAUGGCGUCUCCGACGUGGAAGAUUAGUUCUUGGCUAGUUUCGACGGCUGCCCCGCGUUGUGAUACAAUUUUGAAGCGAUAACAUUCGGUAGAAAUUUAGGCGGAUUUUGCUGAAAUAUAUGCGGUGAACUAUAUUUAUCAAACGAAACACCUUGUUUCUUUGAGAUUUUAAUUUUUGAGACGAUAAUAUGAAUUGAAAAAGUUAGAAUAAUAUAUUAGUAUAUAAAUAUCGUAUAGUAGAUAUUUUAUACUGUUACAUGAACUUGUCUUAUUUCAAUUAAUACCGUGUAACAACCGAGAUAAACAUUCAUAUGCUUUCUAUUUAAUUUCUAUUAAUAAGAAACUUUACAAGUCACAAGGUAUUGAUAAAUAUUCUUGCAUAACAUCAACAAGUUUGAUAAGGAAAAGUAUGAAACUUGACAACCAAAUUUUCCACAUAUAUUCGUGAAUCGAUCUACUUAACGAAAAAUUAUAAAAAUUUGUAAUUUGUAAGUUUAGCGAUAAUAUUAGUCGGUAAAUGAUCGUGCAAGAGGAUGUUGGACUAGCAAAUUAUUUGUUCCACAUUCUUCUCUUAUCCUUGCAGCGAUAAAGCUUAUUCUCUGUACACCAAAAUUUCUACUCUGUAUUUCACGGUUCGUUAUCGUCGAACCAACUCGAUGGACGAUUAAAUUCCAAGUAAAAUCGAUUCUAAACCCCUGCAAAAUUACACGAGAGUUAACUGAGGAUAAUAUUAGAAGAAAUUUCAAGCUGCGACUUGGACUAUCCUUCUGAUGCUACAGCGGUAACAGGCUGUGCCACGUAACAACCGCUUUAAACGAAUCUUUCCGCCAUAUUAACCGGUCGGAGGUCGCCUGGAUUUCCCGUGAAAUAUCAUUUUUAGCCGGUGACCGCCGUGGGCGGGCAUUCGAGGAACGGCUGACCAGGACUCUUUUCGUGCGGUCGUGUCGAAUAUUGUCUAUAAUCGAGAGAACGUUCCUGAGAGAAUGAGAUCGACCGAAUGGGUGGGAGUGAAUGUAAUAUACGAGUCGUUUCUGUCGCCUCUCGUCGUUUCGAACGCGUGCAGUCCUUGCGCUCGAGACACACCGUGGUAAACCCCAGAGCGGUUUUGUCGCACCGCGAGAUGUAAGAAAUUUGCCAGUAAUAUUAAUAUAUUACCA